rnacentral:lncRNA from 1 species
GAAAGUCAAAGGAUUUUUUUUUAUUAUGAUUGUUGUUAUCAUUGAUACACAUCACGAGCUACACAAAAUGCCGACCAAAAAGCAAAUGUAGAAAAAUAGUAGAAUUAUAUUGGUUCUGAUGACUUUGUUAUUCCCAUCACCGUAAUUUUACAAUUUCCAAGGAUGUUUGGGAGAUUAUAAUUAUUGUAUACAUUGUCACCAGAAUAAAUAUGCAUUAGGAAUUCACAGUGGCAUCAAGCUUUACAUUCAGGUUCUUUUUUCAGAGAAAGGGACCGUGCUGAAGACCCUGCCUCUAUUUACCUUCUACAAGGUAGGAGGUCACAUUUGAAAACUAGAUUACAACAUAAUAAAACAAAAUGAAUUCCAGAGCCCUGCGUUGUAUGACAGAUAAACAAAAAGCCACAGGCUGGUUCUCUUGGUUAAGCUGGAGUGU